GGAUGUGAGGGCGAUCUGGCUGUGACAUCUGUCACACCAUUGAUCGCCAGGGUUGAUUUGGCUGAUCUGGCCAGCUAAGCAGGUGUCCCCUUCCUCCCUUGCCACUCCAUGUGCGUCCCUCCCGAAGCUGCGUGCUCGGUCGAAGAGGAUGGCCUUCCCCAAAUAGAGACGGACUGGUUUGCGGUCGAGGUUAUACGAGUAGCUGUGCUCCCCUGCUAGAACCUCCAAACAAGCUCUCAAGAAUAACAUCACUAGGUCUUGGAGGUAGUAUAGUGGUUAUGCAAAAGACUUUCAUGCCUGAGUUUCUGAAGUCCCUG
rnacentral:snRNA from 1 species